rnacentral:rRNA from 1 species
AGAGAGAGACAUGCGCGCAUAUCAAUAAGCGGAGGAAAAGAAACUAACAAGGAUUCCCCUAGUAACGGCGAGUGAAGCGGGAAGAGCUCAAAUUUGAAAUCUUAAAGGGUUUCCCUUUACGAAUUGUAGUUUAAAGAAGUGUUUUCUGUUGAGGUUUUGGUAAAAGUUCUUUGGAAUAGGACAUCAUAGAGGGUGAGAAUCCCGUAUUUGACCUUUACUUUCAACUUUGUGAUACACUUUCAAAGAGUCGGAUUGUUUGGGAAUGCAGUCCAAAAUGGGUGGUAAAUUUCAUCUAAAGCUAAAUAUUGGCGAGAGACCGAUAGCGAACAAGUACCGUGAGGGAAAGAUGAAAAGAACUUUGAAAAGAGAGUUAAACAGUACGUGAAAUUGUCAAAAGGGAAGCGUUUGACACCAGUGUUGUUUUUCUGAAAAUCAAUUAAAGAACUGUUUAUGCUAAGCUGUUUAGACUUUAUCAGCUAACUGUUUAGUUUUGAGCUUUUCUUUUAAUGCACUUUUCAGUUAACAAGUCAACAUCAAUUUCUUUUGCUGUAAAAAAGCUUGAGGAAGGUGGCUUGAGAUUCGUCUUAAGUGUUUAUAGCCUCUUGCCUAUGCAGUCGGAGAGAUUGAGGUCUGCAGCGUAGAUCCUUCGGGGCUAAGUGCAUUUGUGCUAAGUUAUAGCAUUUUAUAGACAACUUGUUGACUAUGAUUUGUCUUGUAGCUUACUCGCUUAUGUUAUUUUACCUACGCUUAGGAUGUUGAGCGCAUGUCUCUCUCU